UUUGAGGGGGUGAUGCUAAAAUAAGAAUUAUACUUCUUUAAAUAGCUUAUCUUGCUGAUGCAAUUACAGAUUUUCCAAGAAUUGUAAAAUAUAAUUUCGGUGACCCUUAAGUUGUUGGAUUAUGUAUUUUCACUAAGUUAUCGUCUUGCUGAUUUCCAUGGUUCCUUAGCGUUUUCUUUUUCAUUUUGUGUAUUUGAUGGAUGGAGAGAACAUGUUUGGUUCAGCAAGUGUAUUAGUUUGAGUUGUUAUUCCUAUUAGGGUUCUCACAUAAAAAAGAAAGGAAGAAUUGACAUUAAAUGAGUAGUAACUGCUGCAGAGAAAGCUUACCAAGAAAAAGCACUAAUAGGUGGAAUCAGAAUUCAUGUGUUCUCAAAAUCAAAAGGAGAUGCUUAAGCUGCUGGUUACUGAUAUGAAGCCACUUUCUGUUCGGGACAUUGUCCACAAUGGAGCCACUUUCCAGCUUUGUUGGCCGUCGUGAAUUGUGUGGCGAGCAAAUCGAAGAGUGCAUGAAGGACAAUAUGAUUGAGUAUGCCGUUAGAGUAUUAUCCGGAAGCUUGGUAUUGAAAGUGUGGCAAUAAGCUCUUCAUGCUUAAGCUGUAUCAAAAUUUUAUUCCUAGUUUUGUUUCACUUUGAAGCUCCUUUGUAUUUAGGUGGUGUUGUAUCACAUUCUAAUAUUCAAGUGUAUGGAUUCAAAAAUUUGUAAUGAAAUUAUCAAUUUUUAUGCAA